UCAAAGGAAUUGACGGGGACCCCGCACAAGCGGUGGAUGAUGUGGUUUAAUUCGAUGCAACGCGAAAAACCUUACCUACCCUUGACAUGUCAAGAAUUUCGCGGAGAUGUGGAAGUGCUCGAAAGAGAACUUGAACACAGGUGCUGCAUGGCCGUCGUCAGCUCGUGUCGUGAGAUGUUGGGUUGAGUCCCGCAACGAGCGCAACCCUUGUCAUUAGUUGCUACGAAAGGGCACUCUAAUGAGACUGCCGGUGACAAACCGGAGGAAGGUGGGGAUGACGUCAGGUCCUCAUGGCCCUUAUGGGUAGGGCUACACACGUCAUACAAUGGCCGGUACAGAGGGUCGCCAACCCGCGAGGGGGAGCCAAUCCCAGAAAACCGGUCGUAGUCCGGAUCGCAGUCUGCAACUCGACUGCGUGAAGUCGGAAUCGCUAGUAAUCGCGGAUCAGCUUGCCGCGGUGAAUACGUUCCCGGGUCUUGUACACACCGCCCGUCACACCAUGGGAGCGGGUUCUGCCAGAAGUAGUUAGCCUAACCGCAAGGAGGGCGAUUACCACGGCAGGGUUCGUGACUGGGGUGAAGUCGUAACAAGGUAACCGUAAAU
rnacentral:rRNA from 1 species